GAUGAACGCUGGCGGCGCGCCUAACACAUGCAAGUCGAACGAUUAAAGCACCUUCGGGUGUGUAUAAAGUGGCGAACGGCUGAGUAACACGUGGGCAACCUGCCCCUUUCAUUGGGAUAGCCACGGGAAACCGUGGAUAAUACCGAAUACUUCGAGACUUCCGCAUGGAAGACUCGAGAAAGCUCCGGCGGUGAGGGAUGGGCCCGCGGCCUGUUAGCUUGUUGGUGGGGUAACGGCCUACCAAGGCAAUGAUGGGUAGCUGGGUUGAGAGACCGACCAGCCAGAUUGGGACUGAGACACGGCCCAGACUCCUACGGGAGGCAGCAGUGGGGAAUCUUGCACAAUGGGCGAAAGCCUGAUGCAGCGACGCCGCGUGCGGGAUGAAGGCCUUCGGGUUGUAAACCGCUUUCAGCAGGGACGAGGCGAAAGUGACGGUACCUGCAGAAGAAGCCCCGGCUAACUACGUG
rnacentral:rRNA from 1 species